rfam:Octopus bimaculoides Scaffold53090_contig_44, whole genome shotgun sequence.
GGCAGUUUAGCUUAAAGGUAAAGCACUAUGGCUGGCACUCACAGAGAUGUGAGUUCGAGUCUCAUGGCUGGCU